CGGCGAACGGUCGCGUAACACGUAAGCAACCUGCCCUAAAGACCGGGACAACACCUCGAAAGGGGUGCUAAUACCGGAUGUGGUCUUUUUCCGGCAUCGGAGAGAGAUUAAAUCCUCGCAAGGGGGCUUUGGGAUGGGCUUGCGGCCUAUCAGCUAGUUGGUGGGGUAAAGGCCUACCAAGGCGACGACGGGUAGCUGGUCUGAGAGGACGGUCAGCCGGACUGGGACUGAGAUACGGCCCAG
rnacentral:rRNA from 1 species